rnacentral:rRNA from 1 species
UGGGGAAUAUUGGACAAUGGGCGAAAGCCUGAUCCAGCAAUGCCGCGUGAGUGAUGAAGGCCUUAGGGUUGUAAAGCUCUUUCGCACGCGACGAUGAUGACGGUAGCGUGAGAAGAAGCCCCGGCUAACUUCGUGCCAGCAGCCGCGGUAAUACGAAGGGGGCUAGCGUUGUUCGGAAUUACUGGGCGUAAAGGGCGCGUAGGCGGCUCGUCAAGUCAGGCGUGAAAUCCCCGAGCUUAACUUGGGAAUAGCGCUUGAGACUGGCGAGCUUGAGUCCGGGAGAGGUGAGUGGAAUUCCCAGUGUAGAGGUGAAAUUCGUAGAUAUUGGGAAGAACACCAGUGGCGAAGGCGGCUCACUGGACCGGCACUGACGCUGAGGCGCGAAAGCGUGGGGAGCAAACAGGAUUNGAUACCCUGGUAGUCCACGCCGUAAACGAUGAGUGCUAGACGUUGGGGUCCUUAGGGGNUUCGUGUCGCAGCUAACGCAUUAAGCACUCCGCCUGGGGAGUACGGCCGCAAGGUUGAAACUCAAAUGAAUUGACGGGGUCAUAGCUGUUUCCU